UACGUAGGGUGCGAGCGUUGUCCGGAAUUACUGGGCGUAAAGAGCUCGUAGGUGGUUUGUCGCGUUGUUCGUGAAAACUCACAGCUCAACUGUGGGCGUGCGGGCGAUACGGGCAGACUGGAGUACUGCAGGGGAGACUGGAAUUCCUGGUGUAGCGGCGGAAUGUGCAGAUAUCAGGAGGAACACCGGUGGCGAAGGCGGGUCUCUGGGCAGUAACUGACGCUGAGGAGCGAAAGCGUGGGGAGCGAACAGG
rnacentral:rRNA from 1 species